GUGUGUGUGUACUGAUCUGCUUAUCUGAAUGUGUAUCUACAGAGAGCUAGAAAAGCUGGCAAUAGUAAGGCCAUGUUACAAGCCUUAAAGACACCGAUAGUUCUUGAGGUCCCUGAGAAUGGCUGGGGCA
rnacentral:snoRNA from 1 species